rnacentral:rRNA from 1 species
GAUGAACGCUAGCGGCAGGCUUAAUACAUGCAAGUCGAGGGGCUGCAUGAUUGUAGCAAUACAAUUGAUGGCGACCGGCAAACGGGUGCGGAACACGUACACAACCUUCCAACAAGUGGGGGAUAGCCCAGAGAAAUUUGGAUUAAUACCCCGUAACAUAGCGAUGUGGCAUCACAUUGCUAUUAUAGAUUUUUCGCUUGUUGAUGGGUGUGUGGCUGAUUAGAUAGUUGGCGGGGUAACGGCCCACCAAGUCUACGGUCAGUAGCUGAUGCGAGAGCAUGAUCGGCCACACGGGCACUGAGACACGGGCCCGACUCCUACGGGAGGCAGCAGUAAGGAAUAUUGGACAAUGGACGCAAGUCUGAUCCAGCCAUGCCGCGUGAAGGAUUAAGGUCCUCUGGAUUGUAAACUUCUUUUAUAAGGGACGAAAAAAGGCUUUUCUAAGUCGUCUGACGGUACCUUAUGAAUAAGCACCGGCUAACUCCGUGCCAGCCGCCGCCGUAAGAC